UUGUACUCCACAGCUGUGUUACGGCCCUGGGCCUUAUGGGUUGGGUUGCAGGUGUCUUGUUGUCUGUCUUUGUGCUCCUCCCCUUUACAGGUGCUGCUGAUUUUAUUCAUUUGGAGCACAGAGCAUUUAAACCUGGCUGUCUCCACCUUCUGGGUCGCCUUCAGCGUCCACUCUGCCUUGAUGCUUGUGGUGUUUUGUUGCCAGGCCUCAGCUCCCCUCCUUUUACACAUUUGAGUUUGUCUUUGUUUUUGCACUUCAGCAAUUCCAUAUGCACUCAUACACCACAUCCAAGCAUUUGCAUUACACCACUGAUACUGACAUCCUCAAUCCAUUGUUGUUUGUGUUAAUAAACAUUCCUUUUUAUGCACUUUAA